UACGUAGGGUGCAAGCGUUAUCCGGAUUUACUGGGCGUAAAGGGUUUCGCAGGCGGAAAUACAGGUGGCGGGUAAAAGCCUACGGCUCAACCGUAGAACUGCUCGUCAAACCGUAUUUCUUGAAUUUGUUCGGGGAAGCUGGAAUUCUCGGUGGAGGGGUGAAAUCCGUUGAUAUCGAGAGGAACGCCAAGGGCGAAGGCAGGCUUCUAGGACAUAAUUGACGCUCAUGAACGAAAGCUUGGGUAGCAAACCGG
rnacentral:misc_RNA from 1 species